GCUCCAGUGCACUACUCUCCACAUCGGGUUUGUGCUCGACAUACAGCUUUUGCUGCCCUUUUUUUUGUUGCUCUGUUUUUCCGCUUGUUUUAUUGCGCAUGCUCUUCAUUCUUUCUUUUUUCUGCUGCUGUUACUCGAGGGCCAAAUCAUGGCGCCUCUACCCCCUAAGCCACACUCGAAAAACCGCAUUGAGCAGCAGCAACUGCCGCACAUCUAUGCUCGUCAUUCGCCGCUGUCUGUUUCCGUUGUCUUUUUUAUUCUGGCAGUCGCUGCUAUCCCGAUCGGCGUCCUCGUAAUUGUGAGCGGGGAUCUAACGACACGGCUUGAUUUUCGCUACGAUCAUAUCAACAGCUACAAGUUUGCAAUGGGAGCAGCUGGUGAGUUUGCCGUUAAUUUUCCAUUCAAUGGCACCAUGUACUCUUCUGGUGUCAAAACCCGGCUUAUGUUCUCUUUGCAUCAGAGUCUAACAGCUCCGGUUUACAUGCAGUAUCGCCUCAGCCCAUUCUUUCAAAACUACCGCUACUUUACUGCCUCCGUGGACUACUCGCAGCUUAGCGGGAGAGCGUCUGCAAUUUCAAAGUUGUGUGCCCCAUUCCGCUUUCCUGGAGAGGCAACUGGAGAUAGUGUCUCCGGCUACUACAACCCGUGUGGUGCCUACCCGUGGGCUAUGUUCAACGACAGCAUCAGUCUGUAUAGGACUGACGGCACACUCAUCUGCGACGGCAGCGCCUUCACGGCCAACGGAACGAGUCUGGCGGCAAAUAACAAGUGUGUGAAGUCUGGCAUUGCUCGUCCAAGUGACGUCAAAGAGAGAUACAAUCCUCCGAGGGAGAUUCCCGGCAACGGUCCGAUGUGGAGUGCUGGCGGCAACAAGUCAGCCACUGAUCCAUAUCUGCGAGAGGGCUACUACUACAAAGAGCCUGGGCACAAGAUCCCACUCAGCAUUGAUGAGGAUUUGAUAGUGUGGCUCGAUCCGGCUUUCACGUCUGAUGUGACGAAAAAUUACCGUAUUCUCAACGUCGAUUUGCCGGCCGGUGACUAUUACUUCGAGAUCACAGAGCAAUACCCGACUGCGCCGUACGCAUCGCAUAAGUUUGUGCAACUCGCGACCCGAUCAUGGAUCGGGGGUAGAAGCCAUGUUCUCGGCUCUCUGCUGAUAAUCAUGGGUGGCACGGCCUUUAUCAUGGCAGUGACACUUCUUUCAGUGAAAUACUUGAUCAUGCCAGUCUAUACAGAGUAGUGCUUGUGCUCAGGUCUCCACCCGAUGCUCACUAUUCUGUUACCUUGCGUUGCAGACGUUCAUGGUGCCGCCUUUCAUGUGAAGCCAAAAUUCAUAGAGCAGUUUUACCUUCAGCUGCUUUCGUUUUCUCUAUCGUGGGUGCAUCAUGCAUAAGCAUACAUCUCGUGUGGGACGCUUUCCCCAUGGCGUGCUCUUGCAUUUGCUUCCCCCUUGUUCUCCCUUUUCGAGCGAAGUUGUUAAGGUGUGUUUUUUUGCGUUCCUCGAUCGCGCUGAGAAGGGCCGACAAAAAAAAAGAUGAAUCAGCCGUAUGAACUCUUUUUGCAUUUGGUGAAAGACGAAUCGGGCUCUUCUAGCGCUAAUUGUUCACUCUCGCUACUCGUCCCAGACUCUCUCUCUUUUCGUGUGCAGCGUGUGUUUCACCGCCUUUCGCGGCGCCUUUUCACUUCUUGUGCGAAGCGAUUGCGUUUCGAAAUCUUCGGGAGCUCUUUCUGCUGAGGGCAGCUGGAUAAAUGCUAUGAUGCCCCUCUCAGUUUUCUUUGCUUGCUAGGCACUGAUAGUAUUGGCUUAUUUUAUGUUUUUGCCUUUCCAGCCGAAUUUUUCUUUAUGGGCGAGCCAGCCUUUUGGCUUUCUUUUAUUUUCCCAACGAGCGAUGCAGAGCCGUAUCAGCGGAGACAUGAUCUACCUCACGCUCUGCCUCACGGAUCACCCAUCUACCUCCGUAC
rnacentral:misc_RNA from 1 species